rnacentral:rRNA from 1 species
UUAGUGGCGUGCAUUCGGCUUCCAGCGUAGUAAAUUUCUCGCUGUGGAAAACGUAUUGUGCUCCCUGUCAGCAACCCCUAAAUUUUCAAGGUUGACCUCGGAUCAGGUAGGGAUACCCGCUGAACUUAAGCAUAUCAAUAAGCGGGGGAAAAGAAACCAACAGGGAUUGCCUCAGUAACGGCGAGUGAAGCGGCAACAGCUCAAAUUUGAAAUCUGACCUCAUGGUCCGAAUUGUAAUUUGUAGAGGAUGCUUCGAACGUGGUCUGGUCUAAGUUCCUUGGAACAGGACGUCAUAGAGGGUGAGAAUCCCGUAUGCGACUAGGUGCCUAAGUUCAUGUGAAGCUCCUUCGACGAGUCGAGUUGUUUGGGAAUGCAGCUCAAAAUGGGUGGUAAAUUUCAUCUAAAGCUAAAUAUUGGCCGGAGACCGAUAGCGCACAAGUAGAGUGAUCGAAAGAUGAAAAGCACUUUGGAAAGAGAGUUAAACAGUACGUGAAAUUGUUGAAAGGGAAGCGCUUGCAACCAGACUUGCAUAUAGUUGAUCAUCCGAUGUUCUCACCGGUGCACUGAACUGUAUUCAGGCCAGCAUCGGUUUUAGUGGUUGGAUAACGGCCUUGGGAAUGUAGCUCCUUUCGGGGAGUGUUAUAGCCCAAGGUGCAAUGCAGCCUACUAGGACCGAGGACCGCGCUUUGGCUAGGAUGCUGGCGUAAUGGUUGUAAGCGACC